rnacentral:rRNA from 1 species
AGCAGCCGCGGUAAUUCCAGCUCCAAUAGCGUAUAUUAAAGUUGUUGCAGUUAAAAAGCUCGUAGUUGAAUUUCGGAAUUUGUCGGUUGGUCGGGCUUCACUGUCCGCACUGGCCUGAUGGAUUCCUACCUUCUGAAUAACCAGCAUGCUAUUAAGUUAGUGCGUUGGGGAAGCAGAGCUAUUACCUUGAAAAAUUAGAGUGCUUAAAGCAGGCUUGUGCUUGAAUAGAUUAGCAUGGAAUAAUAAAAUAGGACGGCAUGGUUCUAUUUUGUUGGUUUCUAGGAUCACCGUAAUGAUUAAUAGGGAUAGUUGGGGGCAUUAGUAUUCAAUUGUCAGAGGUGAAAUUCUUGGAUUUAUUGAAGACUAACUUCUGCGAAAGCAUUUGCCAAGGAUGUUUUCAUUAAUCAAGAACGAAAGUUAGGGGAUCGAAGACGAUCAGAUACCGUCGUAGUCUUAACCAUAAACUAUGCCGACUAGGGAUCGGACGAUGUUAAUUUUUAAUGACUCGUUCGGCGUACCG